ensembl:snRNA U6 U6 spliceosomal RNA
GUAUGAUCAUUUUGCCUGCACAUAUACUAAAAUUGGAAUGACACAAGAUUAUCAUGACCUCUGCUCAGGGAUGACCCACACAUUUGUGAAGUUUUCCAAAUUUUU